UCCCUAGUUGUCCAGUGGCUAGAACUUGCACUUUCACUGCUGAGGGUCCAGGUUCAAUUCCUGGUUGAGGAA
rnacentral:tRNA from 1 species